UCUGCUCCUUCUGGAAAGCCCUUUGAUGAUCAAUGUUUUUACUAAUGUGGGGCAACUGGCUUUCACUCUCUCCAUUCCCAUACCUUACCCAUCAGCAACUUCUUCGUCUUCUAAGAUUUCAUCGCCAUGGAGCAGAGCUUUCUCUUGGAACUUGCUGUUUAGCCCUUUUUUUUUUUUUUAACUGUACACUUUGCAAGAUUAACUUCAAAGAAUGUGAUUCCUAGAGCACAUCUUCGAACCUUUUUUAUGGGCAGGACAAACACGUGUGCCUCAUAUGGUCCAAACUACAGACACGUACCUCUUCAAACUCUUUCCCGUUCUCCAUCUAUUUUCUCUUCUAACACAGAGGAGUGCUCUGUAGACUAUUUGGUGAAAAGAGUUCCGAGGUAUAAACAUGCUCUGCCACAUUUAAUUUGAAUAUAGAAGGAACAAAACGAGAAGAAACUUAUACAAGAGCUUUGAUGCAGCUAAGAUGUUUGAAAAUAUGCCUUAAUUAGCUUAAACCAUGUAAUUUUGGAGAGAUCAACAUCCAUGAGGAAAUUGUCAUUAGUAAAUAUUUACAUCCCUAGACAUGAUAUUCUCAGAUGGUUAGCCCUUUUUUUUUUGGGGGGGGGGGGGGGGGGGGGUGUUAUGUUUAUCACUUUCUCUCAACCAAGACAAUUAUUGGACAAACAUAUUGAUAUAGACACUUUCGGAGAAGAACAACUGCCCAGUGAAAUUCCUUGUGGUAAGAAAUUAUUGAUUGUUCUGCGCAAACCGAAGUGUUUUCGCAUUACGUUCUAACAUAUAGUUGUUUUUUUAAAUAUCAGGCAGUUGCAUCUUGUGUAUUCUUUCUUAUUUUAGGGGCUGUAAAUUCUUACAGUUAUCUGCCCUAUUGUCUUCUUGAUAGGGCUUGCAAUGUCAGUUGUCGUUGCAUCUUUAUAUAAAUUUUGCGUGAUUCUUCUCAGUUAUAACCCAAUCAAGAAGGUAUCUCAAAUCAGAGACCGAGAAAUCUCAAACUCCUCAUUAUUGAAAGCCAUAAGUACAAUUUUCACUCCAGUCCAUCACUCUGCAAGAUGAUAUGCAUCAACCACUUUAUUUACCUGAAAACAGGGGCGUUUUUUCUUCGGCCUGUAAAGUGUCAUUUUUAUGAAUAAGUUGAGACUUGAAAGUUGAAUGUAAAUUACUCUAGACAUCAAGCUACAAAAAUGAACAACAGUGUCGGGCAUAUCCCAUGCUUUGCUUGAGAUGCAUGGAUUUCAUUAGAACUUCAUACUUCAAAAGUAUUGCAUGAAAGCUGAAAUUGGUGAGCAAAGUUGAAUCCUACGGGGUUAUGUCAAAAUGUUGGCCAUAUUUCUUUGUCGAUUUGAGGUAUCUAUGGAUGCUAUGUAAAACUGCGUAUGGUUACUUCUAAUUUGCGUUUAUUUUUUUAGGAAACAUAGGACUUGGAGCUGGAAGGGUGUGAAUCGGGGAGAAAAUCAUAAACAAGAUGUAUAUUCCAAGCAGUAGUUCAACAUAAUAUAACUGGGCCAAGAUUAAUCUAUUUGAGCAAGGAGAGAAACAGAAGAUUCUUUGCAGUCAUGUACACCCCCAAGCACCAUGAGAUGAAGAAUUUGCCAGAAAGUGAUGAUGCUUUUUCUGAUGUAGAGUUAUCUUCGCGGCCAAGGAAACAAACAUAGGACUUGGAACUGGAAGGGUGUGAAUCGGGGAGAAAAUCAUAAACAAGAUGUAUAUUCCAAGCAGUAGAGUUCAACAUAAUAUAACUGGGCCAAGAUUAAUCUAUUUGAGAAAGGAGAGAAACAGAAGAUUCUUUGCAGGUUCACAAAUUUUUCUAUGUAUUAGUUGAAGAACAUAAAAGGCUCAUUUCUCACUUGGAAGGCAUGUUCACACACUCCAGAGCUUUUCUUGUAUGGUUGUGGUAUCAUGUUCUUACAUGACUUUGAUAUUGGUAUUUGAUUCCUGCUCCAUUGUAAAGUAAUCUAAACUAUGGUCUUAUAACACAUCAAUCUAUUUUCUUGAUUAAAAAAAGGCAUCAAUCUAUUAAUAAAUUGCUGCCCAUAUACCAAAAUUUUGAGAGAGAACUGAUUAUCAUGAUAUUGGAGACGAAUGAGUACAAUAUAUAGACUUUUAGUAGCAAUUCUAAUGUGGUGUCUUGUCAGUUAGAUGUACAAAAAACCUGCAGUGUAUAGAAGUACAGAUAAACAAUAAGGGGAUUAAUGGAUAAAUUACUUUCCAAAACAAUAAAUAGCUACCUGAUCAUCUGUAAAUAUACCAUCAGUAUAUGUAGUACCAGUAUAACUUGGUAAGAAUCUCUAUAGUUGACCACUCCUUAAGUUAAUUUCUCCUUUUCAACUAUAUGAGAUACUAAUUAAUGCAAAAAGGAGCCAAUUGGUAAGUCAUCUUUUCAACACCAUUCAACUUGAUCCUUCUAUAGUUGAAGCUCGUUAUGGAUGGAAAGUCAACAUUCAUGAGAAGAAAUUGCUAAUUCUAUCAUUCUCUUCAUUUUAUGGAACAACUUAAUUUUUCUGAGAUGCUAUGACUUUCUGCCUGGAGAAGGCAUCCCAUUUCCUUUUAACCUUAUUGUACUUCAAUACUAUCUUGCAGAAGAUGAUUGCUAAAGUUAAGUAAAUUUGCAGGCUUUCCUAACUUUUGCAUGCUUACUACACAACACCUAUUCUGAUGCUUACCUUUCUUU